rnacentral:tRNA from 1 species
GCCGGGAUGUUGGAAUUGGCAGACAAAGCGGACUUAAAAUCCGCUGUCCCGAGAGGGACGUGAGGGUUCGAGUCCCUCUCCCGGCA